AGUGAACGCUGGCGGUAGGCCUAACACAUGCAAGUCGAACGGCAGCACAGUAAGAGCUUGCUCUUACGGGUGGCGAGUGGCGGACGGGUGAGGAAUACAUCGGAAUCUACUUUUUCGUGGGGGAUAACGUAGGGAAACUUACGCUAAUACCGCAUACGACCUACGGGUGAAAGCAGGGGAUCUUCGGACCUUGCGCGAUUGAAUGAGCCGAUGUCGGAUUAGCUAGUUGGCGGGGUAAAGGCCCACCAAGGCGACGAUCCGUAGCUGGUCUGAGAGGAUGAUCACCCACACUGGAGCUGAGACACGGUCCAGACUCCUACGGGAGGCAGCAGUGGGGAAUAUUGGACAAUGGGCGCAAGCCUGAUCCAGCCCUACCGCGUGGGUGAAGAAGACCUUCGGGUUGUAAAGCCCUUUUGUUGGGAAAGAACAGCAGCAGGUUAAUACCCCGCUGUUCUGACGGUACCCAAAGAAUAAGCACCGGCUAACUUCGUG
rnacentral:rRNA from 1 species